AUUGAACGCUGGCGGCAGGCCUAACACAUGCAAGUCGAACGAGUGGCGGACGGGUGAGUAAUGUCUGGGAAACUGCCUGCUGGAGGGGGAUAACUACUGGAAACGGUAGCUAAUACCGCAUACCAUCAGAUGUACCUAGAUGGGAUGAGUUUGUGGGUGGGGUAAAGGCUCACCAAGGCGACGAUCCCUAGCUGGUGUGAGAGGAUGACCAGCCAAGCUGGAAAUGAGACACGGUCCAUAAUCCUACGGGAGGCAGGAGUGGGAAAUAGUGCACAAGGGGCGAAAGCCGGAUGCGGCCAUGCCGGGGAUAUGAGGAAGGCCUUCGGGGUGUAGAGUACUGUCGGCGGGGAGGCGUUACCCGCAGAAUAAGCACCGGCUAACUCCGUGCCAGCAGCCGCGGUAAUUC
rnacentral:rRNA from 1 species